rnacentral:lncRNA from 1 species
GUUCUUUUUUUUUUUUAGACAGAGUCUUGCUCUGUUGCCUAGGCUGGAGUGCAGUGGCACGAUCUCGGCUCACUGCAACCUCCACCUCCCAGGCUCAAGCGAUUCUCCUGCCUCAGCCUCCCGAGUAGCUAGGACUACAGGCUUGCAGCACCAUGCCCAGCUAAUUUUUUUGUAUUUUCAGUAGUGUCAGGGUUUCACCAUGUUGGUCAGGCUGGUCUCAAACUCCUGACCUUAAAUGAUCCGCCUGCCUUGGCCUCCUAAAGUGCUGGGAUUACAGGCAUGACCCAUCGCGCCCAGCCGAGUAAGGUGUUCUUAUCAGACGCUCAGCACUAAUUUUUAGAUGAUGGUGAGAAGAGGGCAAGGUAGGAUGCAGAAAAGCUCACACCCUAAUUUGUGGGUAGAUGAAUGUCAAUUGUAAUCUCACUUCCUGCUCCCUGACUAACUGGAAGACUGGCUACCACAUAUCCCACAGCAGCAAGCCACACAAAAUGAGAAGAUGGAAAUGCAUGUGGAGGAUUUCUGUGGAACCAGCAUUGUAGUGGUGUAUAUCAUACUGUUUGCAUUAUGGUAGGAAAGACCAAGUAGAAGCCUCUAAAACUGCCCCUGUCUUAGCCAAAACAGCAAGUCAGAAACAAACAAUAUUGUAUCCCAAGAGGAAUUUCAAAGAUUCAUAUUACCCUGAAAGACUUAAAUGAAAUAGUGGCACUUUCCAUCAAAUCUCCUCUCAAUGUUUUGGCACUUGAGAAAACCAGAUGAAAUGUAGCAGAGGAGACUACCAUAAGCCUAAUCAGGUGUGAGCCCCAAGUGCAGAUGCUGUUUCCGGGUAUGGUGCCUUUAUUAGAGCAAAACAAUAUGGCCUGAGGCGCUUGCUAUGUCACUAUUAUUCUGGUAAAUAUACUUUUCUCUAUCUCCAUCAAUGGAAAGGAUAAAAAGCAACUUGACUUCACAUGGUAGGAACAGAUUUAUACUUUAACUGUCCUGCCCAAGGGCCAACCUAACUCUUCUGCUCUCUGUCAAAACAUUAUCCACAGGAAACUUGAUCAUCUUGACAUUACACAGAACGUAUUAGUGUUCCUCCACAUCAAUAACAACACACUUAAUAGAUUAAUGUAGCAAAUACUUUGGAUGCCCUGGAAAGAUACAUUAUGGUGGACAGUGCAAGGAAAACCCUAGGAAGAUACCACAGCUUGCCAUGUUAGUGAGGUUUUAAGGAGUGCAGUGGCCUGGGGUAUACUAUUACAAGCUGGGGGUAGUAUAUAUCACAUUCAAAAAUAUUAUCAGUGUAUUUCACAGCUGCCCCAUGCAUCAGGUGACUUGGAGACUGACAGUUUUGUGUGGGAUGCAGACUGUGGUGCAAGU